rnacentral:snRNA from 1 species
GUGCUCGCUUUGGCAGCACAUAUACUAAAACUGGAACGAUACAGAGAAGAUAGCAUGGCCCCUGUGCAAGGAAGACAACGCAAAUUCGUAAAGCGUUCCAUAUUUUG